AGCAGCAACAACGCUGGUAGCGACAUUUUUGUGACGUAUCGUGUAUACGUAGAGUACAUAAAACUACGCUGACUAUUCAUAUUCUAAUUAUCUGCUGGUUUGAAUCAAUCGUUAGCUACA
rnacentral:lncRNA from 1 species